rnacentral:rRNA from 1 species
CCAGACUCCUACGGGAGGCAGCAGUGAGGAAUAUUGGUCAAUGGUCGGGAGACUGAACCAGCCAAGCCGCGUGAGGGAGGAAGGUACAGAGUAUCGUAAACCUCUUUUGUCAGGGAACAAAGGCGGGGACGUGUCCCCGGAUGAGUGUACCUGAAGAAAAAGCAUCGGCUAACUCCGUGCCAGCAGCCGCGGUAAUACGGAGGAUGCGAGCGUUAUCCGGAUUUAUUGGGUUUAAAGGGUGCGUAGGCGGAGUGUCAAGUCAGCGGUAAAAUUUCGGGGCUCAACCCCGUCGUGCCGUUGAAACUGACGCCCUUGAGUGAGUGAGAAGUAAGCGGAAUGCGUGGUGUAGCGGUGAAAUGCUUAGAUAUCACGAAGAACUCCGAUUGCGAAGGCAGCCUACUAAACUGCCACUGACAUUGAUGCUCGAAAGUGUGGGUAUCAAACAGGAUUAGAUACCCCAGUA